ACGGGAGGCAGCAGUAGGGAAUCUUCCGCAAUGGACGCAAGUCUGACGGAGCAACGCCGCGUGAGUGAUGAAGGUUUUCGGAUCGUAAAGCUCUGUUGCCAGGGAAGAACGUCCGAGUGAGUAACUGCACUCGGAGUGACGGUACCUGAGAAGAAAGCCCCGGCUAACUACGUGCCAGCAGCCGCGGUAAUACGUAGGGGGCAAGCGUUGUCCGGAAUUAUUGGGCGUAAAGCGCGCGCAGGCGGCUUUUUAAGUCCGGUGUCACAGCCCAAGGCUCAACCUUGGGUCGCACUGGAAACUGGAGAGCUUGAGUACAGAAGAGGAAAGUGGAAUUCCACGUGUAGCGGUGAAAUGCGUAGAGAUGUGGAGGAACACCAGUGGCGAAGGCGACUUUCUGGGCUGUAACUGACGCUGAGGCGCGAAAGCGUGGGGAGCAAACAGGAUUAGAUACCC
rnacentral:rRNA from 2 species